rnacentral:lncRNA from 1 species
CCCCGUUCACUCUGUUGCUAAAGCUGCAUUAGCACCGAUCAUCCCUUCCCUUUCCUCCCCUCCCCACACAGUCCUUUGCUAACUCCAUGUGUGCUGCUGCCAGUUGACACCACGGGUGCAUCUCCUGCCCAUGUCCAGAACUCCUCUGACAGUGAGUCCCUGCCGUCUCUGGACUGAACUCAUACCACAUCACGUUGAGCAACCAGAACGGAACAACCAGAACAGAGAGCAUUGAAACUACCUUCCAUUCUGUGAGGGGACAUUGAAUUUUCCUGGAAGUUGUACAGAACCACACGGAGCUUGAUGACUACUAUACAGG